CCGACACCCAAAAACCAGGGAGAGGUGCGGAGAGGAGCCACUGGAGCAGGGCAGGAGGAGGAGGAGGCACCGGGGACCUGCUCGCCCCGCGGCCGGGGUGCUGCCUUACUGCUGGUCCCAGAUGAUGAGGUGGAAGAGGGGUCGGGAUGCUGGAGGGACCCCAGGAUCAGACUGCGGGUCAGUGUCCCCGGGGCAAAGCGAGUGAGAGGGAGAAUUUCAGCUUUCCCAUUUACAACCACGGAAUCAUUUGGGUUAGAAAAGACCCUCAAAGUCACCAAGUCCAACCCAACUCUGGCACAAGACCGUGUCCCUGAGAACCUCGUCUAUACAUCUUUUAAACACAUUUUGCUGAGUUCAUGGGGAGGAACAACAGCCAUCGCCUCCAGAAACCCUCUUUUCUUCACCAGAACAGUUUCAAACACAUUUUUGGCCUUAAUAAUUGAAGGGGAGGGGUUUGAAGAUUAAAAAGCACCAAGAACUCAAGCCCAGAAGGGGAGGAGAAGAACAGAAAUACCUCGAUUUUCCCUCUUGGCCAGAACAUUUGGAUCCUGUUGAGGAAAAAAAACCCACAAGAGCACCAUCAGAAUGAGCCCCGCGCUGCGGGGGGGGCAGCUCGCCAAGAGCUUUACACAACCAGCUCCCAGCUAUUGAGGAA